UAAUGCAUGCAAGUCGCACGGAGUGUCUUCGGACACUGAGUGGCGCACGGCUGAGGAACACGUGGAUACCUGCCCCGCAGUGGGGGAUAACAGGGCGAAAGCUCUGCUAAUCCCGCAUACGGUCGCCGUAAGGUGAAGAAAGCAGCAAUGCGCUGUGGGAGGGGUCUGCGGCCCAUCAGGUAGUCGGUGGGGUAACGGCCUACCGAGCCAAUGACGGGUAGCUGGUCUGUGAGGACAACCAGCCAGACUGGGACUGAGACACGGCCCAGACUCCUACGGGAGGCAGCAGCAAGGAAUUUUCCCCAAUGGGCGCAAGCCUGAGGGAGCAACGCCGCGUGCAGGAAGACGGCCUUCGGGUUGUAAACUGCUUUUGAGGGAGAAGAGAUGGACGGUAUCCCUCGAAUAAGCCCCGGCUAACUCUGUGCCAGCAGCCGCGGUAAUACAGAGGGGGCAAGCGUUGUCCGGACUGACUGGGCGUAAAGCGCACGCAGGCGGUUGUGGGCGUCGGUGCUGAAAGUCCACUGCUUAACAGUGGAACGCGUGCCGAUACGCCACAACUGGAGCUAUGCAGAGGUCUGUGGAAUUGCCGGUGUAGUGGUGAAAUGCGUAGAGAUCGGCAGGAACACCAAAGGGGAAGCCAGCAGACUGGGCAUAUGCUGACGCUCAUGUGCGACAGCGUGGGGAGCGAACUGGAUUAGAUACCCAGGUAGUCCACGCCGUAAACGAUGGAUACUCGAUGUCUGGUGGGUACUCAAUCCCGCUGGGCGUCUCAGCUAACGCGGAAGUAUCCCGCCUGGGAACUACGAGCGCAAGCUUAAAACUCAAAGGAAUUGACGGGGGCCCGCACAAGCAGCGGAGCGUGUGGUUUAAUUCGACGCAACGCGAAGAACCUUACCUAGCCUUGACAUGUAUCUGCAAGCCUGUGAAAGCAGGCCGCCUACGAGGGUGAUACACCGGUGCUGCAUGGCUGUCGUCAGCUCGUGUCGUGAGAUGUUGGGUUAAGUCCCGCAACGAGCGCAACCCUCGUCCCAUGUUGCCAGCACGUAAUGGUGGGGACUCUUGGGAGACUGCCGGGGUCAACUCGGAGGAAGGUGGGGAUGACGUCAAAUCAUCAUGCCCCUUAUGUCCUGGGCUUCACGCAUGCUACAAUGGCCGGUACAAAGGGCUGCGAUACCGCGAGGUGGAGCGAAUCCCAAAAAGCCGGUCUCAGUUCGGAUUGGGGUCUGCAACUCGACCCCAUGAAGUCGGAGUCGCUAGUAAUCGCAGAUCAGCAACGCUGCGGUGAAUACGUUCCCGGGCCUUGUACACACCGCCCGUCAAGUCACGAAAGUCGGUAACACCCGAAGCCGGUGGCCCAACCCUCGUGGAGGGAGCCGUCGAAGGUGGGACUGGCGAUUGGGACUAAGUCGUAACAAGGUAGCCGUACCGGAAGG
rnacentral:rRNA from 1 species